rnacentral:rRNA from 1 species
GCAUGCCUACAACAUAGGUUUAAUGCAUUAGAUCCCAUUAAAACUCUCUAGUUAAGCGCGCUCAUGCUAGACUAGUACUGGGAUGGGUGACCGUCGGGGAAGUCCUAGUGUUUUACAUGCC